AUGCCUUGUUCUACCAACAGAGAUAUUCUCACACCACAACUACGAAUUUUAUUAUUUUGCUACUGCUUUUCAGAGGAGAAUUGUGAUGAGAACCUUGUGCAGCCUUUACAUUUCAUAUGUCACAACAACUCACGUAACAAGUCUGGUUUUAAAGCCAGUGGCCAGUGGGAACAAUUGACUGAACACUUCUUCCAAAACUGUGAGUUUAUCUUUAAUGAUUGGAACUGAACUAUCAAUACAUUAUGAGUAUUUUCAACAGCAUGAAUCUGUGCUUGUGUUUUUUGGAAGAUGAUUUUGUUUUUUGGAAGAUGAUUUGUGUUUUUUGGAAGAUGAUUUUGCAAAUUUUCCUAAUUCUGGUAUGAUGCUCUUGCUUUGUUGCUUCUGCUGAAAUGUAAGGUUUCAUCACUGAUGAAAGCACUCUGUUCAUCUCCACGUGCUUAACUGUUGACCACUUUUUUUUUUCUUCAUUGGCCAUCUAAAUCAUAUAAUAUACUUGUCUUUGACCAUAUCCACUUUCAUCCUAAUGCCUGGAAAAUGUCACAACCUCUUCAAAAUGGAACGAAAACUGAAAUGUAGCCUGGUAACAUUAGCUAUAUCAGGAGAUCUCAUGAUGCCAUAUUAACCUCUGAUCUGAUCUGGAACUGAAGGUCAAAAAAGUCAAAUACUUCUUGAAAUGUCAGUAUUUGUAACUUUCCAAUUACACCAAUAGAUGAUCUCUACAAAAUGAAUAGUACCAAAAGAAGCUAUGUUGUCUUGGUUAACAAGAUUAGAUAGGAAACUGGACCUUUAUCUAUCAGUAGAGUUCAAACAAAGAAGGGAUAUUGCUGUAAGCUCAUUUUUAACAUAUGAGAACAUGUUCUCAUUUAACUAAUACAAAUCCAGAACAAUUCUAGGGAUCUUAAAACAUUUCUGCAUUUUUAAUAAUGCAGCUAGGUUUAAAAUCCAUUUAUGUGUUAGGUCAUUCACUCCACUAAUGAAAGACCAGAAAGAGAAUCAAAUAAGGCAAAAUAAGAUUAUUUAUUUUAAGGUCAUAGUUAUCAGGUAUGCCUGUAUACACACAGUCUAUACAGUUCUAUCUUGAACCAGUGUGGUUGUUUUUAUGACAGAAAAAAACAAUCAUAUACCUGUUUUGAGAACUAUAAACCCCUAUUGGAAAUGCAAGUGGACUUCACAGAAGGGCUUUCUUUGUUCUAUGUUCCUCUUCUGUACAAUGACAACUUGAAGUCUUACAAUACAAACUGAAUUUUGAACAGUUACAUCUUUCUCUGCAUUUUUUAAAGUAUAAUGUUAAUUCAAUAUCACAACACCAGAAGUACAUAAUUAUAAAGGGUGAAAGAAGCUGCAUUCAAAUUACCCAUGAGUCUAAAUGCUUGGCUCUGUAUAAUUACUUUCAAAUUAUUUCUGUCAAACACAGGUUAUAGUUGAGUUAGUCAUUUAUAUUUUAAAAAGAAAAUUAAGAAAAUCAAGGAAGAAAUUACUUAGAAUUUUUAAUAUGAAGAACUUGUUCUUUAGCAAAAAGUAUCAUUUUUUUUACACUGGAAGUAAAAUUAGCAAACUAUGUACUGUGGAUAUGCUGCAAAAAACAGAUUUGCAUGUUAAAGACUACAAUGCCAGCAUUCAAUAUGGGCAAUAUGAUGAUCCAAAAUAAAGUUGGAUCCGGUAUGUAUGUGUCUGAAAAC
ensembl:lncRNA